rnacentral:rRNA from 1 species
UGCGGUUAAACAAAUAAUGCUACUAUUUUUAUUUGGUUUUUAAUUUUUAGUUAAUAAGAAUUAAUUUUUAUUUAAUUUAAUAUUGGGUGAAAUCCUAUUUUUUUUUAAUUAAAUUUUUGAUUAUGAGGUUAAGAAAUCUAGAUUUUAAACUGGGAUUAGAUACCCCAUUAUUCUAGAUGUUGAUGGUUAAACCUGAUAAAUAUUAGUUAUGUUCUUUAAAAUCAAAAAAUUUGGCGGUUUUUUAUUCCAAUCAGGGGAAUCUGUCCUGUAAUCGAUAAUCCACGAUUAAUAAAACUUUAAUUUUGCUUGUAUAUCGUCGUUGUUAAUUAUUUUUGGAAAUAUAUAAUUAGAAUAUAAAACUAUAUAAAAUAUCAGAUCAAGGUGCAGCUUAUGGAAGUAGAGAUGGAUUACAAUAAAUUUAUUUAAGGAUAAAUUUUAGCAUUAUUAUUUAGAAUUUGGAUUUGAAUGUAAUUUUAGUUAUUAAUUGAGAUGAAUUAGGCUCUAAAAUGUGU